GUACCUAUCUCAGCAAAGAGCCUCACUUGAUUACCAUCUUGCUUAGCCUCAAAGAGUUGCUGAGAGCUAAAUUAAUUGAGUGCGGCUGGAAGGAUCAGUUGAAGGCACACUGUAAAGAUAAUGAUUUUAAAUGAUAUGAUUUGUUUUUUGCUUUUGCAUAAGAGGUAAUUAAAGAAAAAGGACUAGAACACGUUACUGUUGAUGACUUGGUGGCUGAAAUCACUCCAAAAGGCAGAG
rnacentral:lncRNA from 1 species